rnacentral:rRNA from 1 species
AUUGAACGCUGGCGGUAUGCUUAACACAUGCAAGUCGAACGAUGAGAAAGAGCUUGCUCUUUCGAUUAGUGGCGGACGGGUGCGUAACGCGUAGGAAUCUACCUAUUAGUGGGGGACAACUUAGGGAAACUUAAGCUAAUACCGCAUACGCCCUACGGGGGAAAGAAGGGGAUCGCAAGACCUUUUGCUAAUAGAUGAGCCUGCGUAGGAUUAGCUAGUUGGUGGGGUAAAAGCUCACCAAGGCGACGAUCCUUAACUGGUUUGAGAGAAUGAUCAGUCACACUGGAACUGAGACACGGUCCAGACUCCUACGGGAGGGAGCAGUGGGGAAUAUUGGACAAUGGGCGAAAGCCUGAUCCAGAAAUACCGCGUGUGUGAAGAAGGCCUUAGGGUUGUAAAGCACUUUCAAUUGGAAGGAAAACCUCGAAGCUAAUACCUUCGAGUUUGACAUUACCUUUAGAAGAAGCACCGGCUAACUCCGUGCCAGCCGCCGCGGUAAAAC